CGGCCCGGCUGAGUUUUCUCCGCCUUUGCCUUCUCGCUUGGCUCGUCUAACGGCCAAGGCUUCCAGAUUUCGGGCCCGGCCUGCAAAGUGAGGCCUCAGGCUGGGGUUGGCGGGCCCGUGGUGGGAACCGCGUGGAACCGAAGAGCUCCCACGGGAACAAGGGCAUCACUGACGAAACAGGUACAGAGAGGCUAAGUAACCUGCUCAAUGUGACCGACCUAUUAAGAGGAGCUGGGAAGUUGAACCCAGCAAUCUGGCUCCUGAGCCAUGAAAAAGCUGGAUGUGACGGGGCUGAGAAAGCCAUGUGGCUAGCUGGGCGUGGUGGCUCAUGCCUGUAAUCCCAGCACUUUGGGAGGCUGAGGUAUAAAUUGCCAUAAUUUAAAAGUGGAGAAAUAUGGGAGAAUUAUCACCAAUCCACACAUAGAAGUACUCAAGAGUAACAGAAUGUACACCUAAAAUGGUUUCUGCUAGCCUUUAUUUGCGAAAAUUUACACAAAACCCCCCAAUCCAACAUUUACAAGUGAAUCUGUAUAAAUCCCACAUGCCUCUUUCCCAAACAAAUCGAAAAAUGGCUUUAUGACAGGGGUCCAUGACAAUGGUAAAACAAAGCUCACUUAAACUGCAUCCUUCUCAUUUAUAUUAUACAGACCAUUUUGGAUAAUAUGCCCAAAAACGGAGGAAAGCAGAUAACACCCAUUUUUAAAGCUUAUUUGCUCUUGUAUUAGUCUUUUGUCAAAGUCAAAUACUUUUACUUUUUGGAUAAAACCAAAGUAUAAUAUCAAUUAACUUUUAAAACAAAAGCACAAAAUGCCUCAGUUGAUAGUUUUGGCAUGAGUAAAUGGAGGGGACAUGAAAGAAUGUCAGCUCCUACAAAGCUUAAGUUUAGGGUCACACUUGGGAACAAAAGCAUCAACAAAAUAAAAUAUUCUCUUUUCCUGUCUUUUCUUUGACAUUUUGUCACAUCUGAAGACCAUAACUGAGUAGCUUUCAUUGCUCCUAAAAAGGGGAAAGGCACCGUCAGAAAUAUGAAAGAAAAUCUUGUUAGGCUAAUGGUACAUGAUAGAAUUUCACAUUUAAAAGUUAAGGAUGGAGGCUGGGCGUGGUAGCUCACGCCUGUAAUCCAGCACUUUGGGAGCCAGAGGCGGGCGGAUCACUUGAGGUGAAACCCUGUCUCUACUAAAAAUACAAAAAUUAGCCGGGUGUGGUGGCAUGCACCUAUAGUCCCAGCUACUUGGGAAGCUGAGGCAGGAGAAUUGCUUAAACGUAGGACGUGGAGGUUGCAGUGGGCCGAGAUCAUUCUGUUGCACUCCAGCCUGGGCGUUGCAGCAAGACUCUGUCUCAAAAAAAAAGUCUGAGAAUGGAUCUUAGCCCACUUACUAUUCUCUAUUUGGAUGCAUCCUCUGUAACUUAGCAUAUGUAGUAGUACAUACAGUUAGACUUUCUCAACAUCUGCUGCCCCUGUGGUGAGGAACUGCAGCCAGGUUCUCAGAAGCAGUACCUACCAAUUCUCAACAGCAGAUGGCAAUGUUGUACAAGUUAAUGACAGAACUACUUUAAUGCCACAUAAAGUACAAGGAGUCAAAAGUG